GGUGAUGAUUAGCGGCGGACUGGUGAGUAACGCUGGGGUGACCUACCUUGAGGAUGGGGAUAGCCGUUAGAAAUAGCGGGUAAUACCGAAUAAUGUUAUUGAGUUAUGAUUUGAUAAAGAAAGGGGCUUUGUGCCCCGCCUUAAGAUGGGCCCGCGUCCCAUUAGCUAGUUGGAGAGGUAAGAGCUUACCAAGGCGAUGAUGGGUAGCCGGCCUGAGAGGGUGAACGGCCACACUGGGACUGAGAUACGGCCCAGACUCCUACGGGAGGCAGCAGCUAAGAAUAUUCCGCAAUGGACGAAAGUCUGACGGAGCGACGCCGCGUGAACGAGGAAGGCCGAAAGGUUGUAAAGUUCUUUUGCGGAUGAAGAAUAAGCUUAGGAGGGAAUGCCUGAGUGAUGACGUUAGUCCGUGCAAUAAGCCCCGGCUAAAUUACGUG
rnacentral:rRNA from 1 species